rnacentral:rRNA from 1 species
AACGUAGGAGACGAACGUUAUCCGGAGUUACUGGGCGUAAAGGGCGUGUAGGCGGUUUGUUAAGUCUGGCGUGAAAGCUCUCGGCUAAACCGGGAGAGGUCGUUGGAUACUGGCGAACUAGAGGAUGGUAGAGGCGUGUGGAAUUCCGGGUGUAGUGGUGAAAUGCGCAGAUAUCAGGAGGAACACCGAUGGCGAAGGCAGGUCUCUGGGCCGGUAACUGACGCUGAGGAGCGAAAGCAUGGGGAGCGAACAGG